UAAUAUGAAGGUUUAUGCUUUAGUCGAUUCUGGGGCUAGCAUAAAUUUGAUGCCUUAUCAUUUUAUCAAAAAUUGAAUAUUCAGAAGUUGAAGGCCACAAAGAUGACUAUUCACAUGGCAAACCGUUCAGUGACACAGCCCAUGGGUAUUGUGGAAGAUAUUCUCGUGCAAAAUGGGAAAUUCGUUUUUCCAAUAGAUUAUGUGGUUUUCGAUAUGAAAUGUCACACCCCAAACCAGACGGUGGAAACGUCCGGGGGCUUGUGCGUGACUUCAUCUUGAAAUAUCAUUACAGUGAAUAUAAUUGAAACAUAACAUCAUCAUCAUCACACAUGUAAUAUAACAACAUACAUUGUUUACAUCGAGUAUUGUAUUUGAAUAUUACAUGCCAAAAUAGCAAGAGUAUGAUGAAACAAAAUAUAACACAAUAUCCAUUAGUUUGUUUCGUUCAUCUUGCUUCAACGGUUUCCUGAGAAUACAAGUUAUUUUGAAAAACGGUCAACAUAAAAAUGUUGGUGAGUCCAUAAGCAUUUUUGUGAAAAUGAUUUGUAUAACUUUGAAACCACCAGAAAAUCCGAUAUUUUCUGAAAACUGUUUAGAAUGUUUGUGUUAGAUCUUGUAUUAAUGCAUGUAUGUUUUUGUUUAUAUGACUAAAAGGGGUAGAGAGAAUGUAGAGAGAAUGUAAAUAGCAUGUAAAGAGAAUGUUCCCAAACAACCCGAUGUUGUAUGUAAAAGAGAGAGCUACCAUACCAACCCCCGAGGUUGAGUACCAGUACGAGAAUGUUUCCGAGUAAUCCAAAAGAAAAGAGAAGGGUCUUCCGUAAACUUCAUAAUGUUAAUUCCUCUAAGUGAGCCGUCAUAACCAUACUAAAUAAUGACAAUUUCACCUGUCUUGGCGUCGUUGAACGCCGGUUUUGACUUUGAUUAUAAGGUUUUCGUCACCCUAGACUGAGUUAGUCAAAAUGUAGCGAACAGCUCAGGUGUGGGGUGUCACCCCCGUAUAGAUCUAUACACAAAUGCCCGUUCUCCCUCCAAGAGACUCUGGUUAUAACUACAGGCUACGAUCGUACACUUAAUAGGUGCCAACCGACAAAACUCACUAGAUCCUUAAUCGAAUUUAUGCGAAGAAAAAGGGUAUAAACUCCUUCCAAGCCCAAUGAUCCAUGUAAGUGAACCACUAAGGCAUUGCUAAACAUGUAAAUCAUUUCAAGACCCAAUUGGAAUGAGAUUAUAUAACAUGGGCCCAAACUAUAUAUGAAAGGACAACUAAGGCCCAUUUCACAUGUAAAGUAUUUACAAGCCCAAAUAGCACACAAAUAAUAUCCAAGGUCUGUCGCACAUGUUAAUGGGUCAAUAAGUCCCAAUAAACAGAUCUACUAGUUUAAAUGUAUUAUAUGUGUUUUAUGAGUUUAAUUUAUGUAUAGAUCUAUACGGGGGUGACACCCCUUUUAGAUCUUACAACACAACACUCAUUUUUGCUAUUUAAAGUGUAUAAAUCUCAGAUCUACUAGUUUAAAUGUAUUAUAUGUGAUAAAACAUACUUUUCUCAAGGUUCUUAUGAAGAUCCAAGUGAUAAACUUCAAGUUCUUAACAUAUUUUUAGAUUAAUGAAUAAAUCAACACAUAAUCACCAAAUAAUUCAUGGAAAACACACAUAGUCAUGUGUAUGCAUAUAGAUCUACACAAAUCAACUUGUAUUCUCCCCCAAAAACAAGUAAAAACCAAAAACAAGGGGGUAUGAACUCACCUUGGGGGUUUUGAGAUGUAGAAGAAGAAGAAGAAGAAGCUUGAGUCUAGCUUGUGUUCUUGGUGAAACUUUUGAAAUGAUGGUUGUUCUAAGGUACAUAAUCACGAAAAUGGGAGAGCAAGGGAAGGAUUCUUAGCAUAAACAUGAAUCAAAACAAUAGAUUUUGUCAUAAACUUACCAAGAGAUGGAAACUUGAAGAAAAAUCCUCUUGAAAUAUCAUACAAAUUCACGAUUUUUAUAUGAAGAGAUGAGAGGAAAUUUGAAGUUUUGAGAGGAAAGAAGAAGUGUGUGAAGUCUUGGAAAUGUGAAGUGUGUAUGUGUGUAUGUGUAUGGCCGAGAGGUAAAGAGGAGGGGGAAAGAGGGUAGGGGUUGACUGAGGUGAGUGAUGUGAGAUGCAUGGUUGUUUGUGGGACAAAAGCUUUGUUAUUUGGUAUGCUAUAUUGAUGUGGCAUCUCUUAUUACACAAGCCACUUUCCCCUUUUUUUUGUAUUUUGGGCCGAGAAUGCCCAAAUGGAUUGAAGAAAAAUGGUUUUGGGCUUAAAUCCUUGGCUUGGUCGAAUUCCAUAGGCCCAAUAUUAUUUUUCGGCUCAUUAGGCUCUUAAGGUGGUUCACGACCCAAGAUGGUACAAAGGAAUGGGUUUGAGGUCCAUUAAGGCUAAUUUAUUUAUUUAUGGCCCAACAAGGCCCAUUAGAGAUAACUAGUCCAUUUUAGGUCCACUAAGGGUAAAAUGAACCAUUUUAGGCCCAUAUGGCCCAAAAGGUUGAGUUUUAUGAGUGUGGGUCCAUUUAGAACCCAAUUAGGGUUUUUAGGCCCAAAAUAGUUCAAGCUGAAGGUUUAUUGGUCCAUUAGGACCAAUAAGAGAAUUCUAGUCCAUAGUGAACUUGAAACGGGAUGUCUACGGUUUUCAACUCAUAGAUGAACAUAUGAGAUGUAUUGUAUUAGCUUUUGACCUUCAUUCAAGAGUUUGGAUUCAAAUGGAUGACGUUGAUUGAAAAUAGGGUAUGAUAUUCACUUAGAGUAUAAGCCUUACAAAAGAUGAUGUUUUCAUGAGAAUAUAAUUCCCUAGCUAAAAUUGCUAGUUGUGACAUCAUACCCCCGUUAGAGGAAAUUUUGUCCCGAAAUUCUUUCGAAAGAUAGGAUCACGAAUGAGAGAAUAGGUGAGGGUAUUUUUGCUUCAUCUAGUCUUCGCAUUCCCAUGUGAAUUCCGGUCUACGCUUGGCGUUCCAUCAUCUUCACAAUCGGAAUGAAGCUCUGUUUCGUAUGCUUCACUUCCCUAUCCAAUACCUCCACUGGUUUUUCGACGAACAUGAGAUUCUUGUUUAUUUUGACCUCUUCUAAAGGUAUGACGAGAGUUUCAUCAAAUACGCACUUUUUCAUAUUCGAGAUGUGGAACACAAGGUGUAUGUUGAUGAGCUCUAUAAGCAGUUGCAACCCAUAAGCCAUCGGACCAAUCCAGGCAAGAGUCUCGAAUGGUCUAAUGUAUCACGGGUUCAGUUUUCCUGUUUCCUAAAGCGAAUCAUUCCUUUCUAGGGAAAGACUUUCAAUAGUACCCGGCCUCCGACUUAGAAUUCCAGAGGUUUUCAUCAUUUCUCAGCAUAAUUCUUCUGUCUGUAUCGUGAUGCUUGAAGUCGAGUUCCGAUUUGGAUUAUCCUCUCUGUCGUUUUGCGAAUGGUUUUCUGGUCUCGUGAGAGAACUGACGAGUGAUCUGCAUUUACAACCAUAAAGAGCCUCGAAAAGAGAAUCCUUGAUGCUCAUUCGAUAGCUAUUAUUGCGUGAGAAUUCAAUCAAAGGCAACCGGGUAUCCCAUGACUUGCUGAAUUCUAACACCCAGGCUCGGAGCAUGACUUUGAGUGGUUGAAUGGUCCGUUCGCUUUGGGUAUUGGUUUGAGGGUGGUAAACAGCGCUCGUGUCUAGCUAUGUUCCCAUAGCCUUCUGAAGAGACUGUCAAAAUAUUGAAGUAAUUCCGUUAUCUCGAUCCGAGAUAAUAGAUAUUGAUAUUUCAUGGAGUCUCGCGAUCUCUUUGAUAUAGGUCCAUGUGAAUCUUUACGUCUUGUUUGAUUUAUGUAUUAGCAGGAAAUGGGCAGAUUGGGUUAACCUAUCGACGAUCACCCAGAUAACGCCCAACUCAGCUCGCAUAACUAUAAGCUUCGUCCUUCGACUUCGAGAGUUUUAUCCGUCCAUGCAAUAUUUUCUCCGUGAUAUUCUCCGACUUUGAUGCUUUCAAGGCUGGUCGUAGAUGUUAACAGUGUUUUGUUCUUGCUUCGUGAGCAGAUGUGUAUGUUAUCGAUGAAAAUAAUUAAAAAGGCUGACUAGGAAUGGUUAGGAGAACUCGGUUCGUAGGAUCCAUGAAUACCGUGGGAGCAUUCAUUAGACCGAAGGGUGUCAUAAUGAAUUUGAAAUGGUCGCGAUGAGUUCAGAAAGAAGUUUUUUGAAUGUCCUCUUCUCGGACUCGGAGCUGAUGAUAUACAAAUCUUAGCUCUAUUUGGAGAAGUAACUAGCUUCUUAAGGCUGGUCAAAUAGGACAUCAAUCCGAGAAAGUGGUUAUCGGUUUUUGAUAGUGAGCUUAUUCAAUUCCUAAAAUCGUUACACAUUCUGAAGGAUCCGUCUUCUUGACGAAUAAGAUCGGAGCUCUCCAGGGUGAGAAGCUUGGCCCGAUGAAUCCUUUGCACAACAAUUCUUCUCAAUUGACUGGAUAACUUGUGAAUUUUCGGCGAGAGUCAACCUAUAGGGUGAAUUGGCAAUUGAUGUGGUUCCCAGUAUGAGGUCGAUUCGAAAUUCGACAUGUCUCUCUAGGAUAUUCCCGAAAGUUCUUCGGGAAACACAUCCGGAAAAUCACAUGCUACUGGAAUACCUUAUAUGCUUACCUCUUCUUUGGUCUUGUCCACAACAUGAGUGAGGAAAACGUAGUUCUUCUAGUGCAGGCACUUCUGUGCCUUGAUGCACGAGAUAGGACGAGGAUUUGGUGCCAUGUUUAUCACCAUGGAUUAUUAGAGUUUCAUGAUUGGGAAGGUGAAGGCAAACGGCCUUCUCGCGAUAUAUAGCAUCAACAUGGUGGGGGUUUAACCCAUCCGUUCCGAUUAUCACAGCAAAACUCCUAAUAUUUACUGACAUAAAAUCUAUUUGAAAUGAAUGGUUGUUUAGUGUUAAGGUAUACCCUACAUAAAUAUCUUUGGUUGAUUCGGUUUUCCCAUUAGUCAUCUCCACCGUUAAGGCUUAGUUUAGCCUCUGGGGUUGUUGUUUUAGUAAGUGUUUGAAUAUGUCACUAACGAAGAUUCACUCAGCUUUACUAUUGAAUAAAAGGUAAGCGAAAGAGUUGUUAAGUGGGAACGUACCAGUAACAAUCCUUGGGUCUUGGACUGCUUCGCUUUGACCCAAGGUCAGGACCAUUUAUGAUCCUUCUGCUCCUUGAUUGUUAUCCUUGGGGCUGGUCUCAUCAGUGGUGUUGUUGUUAAGGUUGUUGCGAUUGUUGUUGUUUUCAUUUGGCUUACGAUUUUGACAUGGAUAAGUUCUACAGUAUUUGGUGGUGUGAUUCUUUCGGUUGCAUUUCUUACAACGCAUCUCCCGACUGGCUCCGUUAUGAUGGAAAUUGCACUGGUUGCAUUUUGGAAGGCUUCCAGCAUAUGGUCUAGCUGAUGUUGGUGUAAUAGGGGUCAUGGUUGCAUGAACAACAACAACAUGUUGCUUCUUUGAGAACCUUUGAGUUGGCUGUCCCUUUCUCUUACUUCCAGAAUUUUGCUUCCUACUCUUAAGCUUGGGGUUUAGUUUGCCUUGAAAAGCUGUCACUUGUUGGUUUCCAUGUUUGUUCCUUUGUCUGGAGUUCUCAAUGCUAUUUCCGUGUCCAUUGGUGUUCUUUGCAUUGAUUUGCGCCAUAGCAACGGCUACUGCCGCUGUUACAGCAGCUUGGAAUGUAGCAGAGUCCAUCUGCAGGAGCGGUGUCUCGCGGGUGUGCUUGUUAUUCCUGCGGGGUGGCAUUUUCCUGUUGCAUGUUGAUAAGCCAGAUCGUAACAAAUGAUCGUCAUUCCUGGUUGUACUCUAUAAAUUUUGCAUCUUGUUGUAUAAUUGUCACUGCUUCCAUCUACAUCCCUAUGAUGUAUUUACGAUAGUAGGUAAUCGUAGAUUUGGCACGAUCGUUACAUCUAUCCUUAGAGUAUAUGGAUUGUUUCGGUUUCGAGAUCCUUAAGUAUCUAGCAGUUUUAAGGGUUAGGUUGUGCAUAUAAUUGAAUUUAUGUAGUAAUCUAAAAUAAAGAUAGCACAUAGUUGUUCCAUUGGUAAGUACCAUCUUAGUACACGAAAGAUAGUCAUAUCGGAUAGUAGGGGGACAAAAGAAAGGUUGAUCCUAAUUGUGGCGGGAAGGGUCUGGUGGUGGUGCUGAUGAAGUGGAUGCACCUCGGAGGCGAGCUACAUGUUGCUCGGUUCGUACCUCCCAAACUAACCGUCUCGCUCGGGAGUCUCCGUUCACUUCCUGUGUUUGCCUCUCAUCUCUCUCAAUAGCAAACCACAUUUGUUUCGUUCGAUUUGGGGUGUCCUGAGCUCGGUUAUCAAUACCUCGGGUGUGCCAGGCCAUGACUGGGAGGGCCCGGUCAGCUGGUCCUCUACGACUAAGAUCGAAGAGACCUCGGUUCCUACUGUAGUGUGGUCAUAUUCCCUGCUGGUGACUCUAUCUCCAAAUAUCGUGUGCCCAUGGGGGCAUGGGGCCACCGGGACCCAUACGAUAAAUAGGUACUCUGGCUUUACAUGGAGGAUUAAUGACAUCGGAUUCUGCAUUUGAGUCAUCGUCAUCAUUGCCCUUGGGCACUUCCACUUCGAGGUCCCCUAUUGAAUCGGCGGGUCCAUCUGCAAGUUCUACUUCGUGUUCGUCCUCUGGUUCUUCCUCUGAGUCGAUCCACCCUGCAAUUCCCUGACUAGGGAAUAGCAGGGGUUUCUUCGCUAAUGAUACUUGUCUAUAGUGUAUUGCACGAAGGGGUAUAAACACUAGAAACAAAUAGCAUACCAAUUACUCCUAUAGUAAUUUAGUUUUCUUUAGUUUUUUGUUCUAUAAGCUCUUUGGAUAAUUAAAUUGUUAGUUUUUUUAUUCAUUCUCCAUCAAAAUUACUCCCGAACACAUGUUGGUCAUAUUUUGAAUGAAUGUAGUUGAUCAGGCUACAUUCACCCCUAAUACGACUACAUAACUGUGCAAGUUUAAUAGCGAUGUUCAAAUCCUCCAAAGACUUUUACUGUUCUUGUUGUGUUAUUAUUCUAAAAUGCACACCAGGUAUGUAUUUUUAAUUAUUAUAUUCAGAGUUGUUUAGUCCCAUUGUAUUUAUAGUUGCAUAUCUUGUAUGAUUAGAUAUGCUAGUUCACUAUAAACAAUGCUCUGAUACCAAUCUGUCACACCCCGAACCAGACGGCGGAAACGUCCGGGGGCUUGUGCGUGACUUCAUCUUGAAAUACCAUUACAGUGAAUAUAAUUGAAACAUAACAUGAUCAUCAUCACACAUAUAAUAUAACAACAUUCAUUGUUUAGAUCGAGUGUUGUAUUUGAAUAUUACAUGCCAAAAUAGCAAGAGUAUGAUGAAACAAAAUAUAACACAAUAUCCAUUAGUUUGUUUCGUUCAUCUUGCUUCAACGGUUUCCUAAGAAUACAAGUUAUUUUGAAAAACGGUCAACAUAAAAAUGUUGGUGAGUUCAUAAGCAUGUUUGUGAAAAUGAUUUGUAUAACUUUGAAACCACCAGAAAAUCCGAUAUUUUCUGAAAACUGUUUAGAAUGUUUGUGUUAGAUCUUGUAUUAAUGCAUGUAUGUUUUUGUUUAUAUGACUAAAAGGGGUAAACAGAAUGUAGAGAGAAUGUAAAUAGCAUGUAAAGAGAAUGUUCCCAAACAACCCGAUGUUGUAUGUAAAAGAGAGAGCUACCAUACCAACCCCCGAGGUUGAGCACCAGUACGAGAAUGUUUCCGAGUAAUCCAAAAGAAAAGAGAAGGGUCUUCCGUAAACUUAAUAACGUUAAUUCCUCUAAGUGAGCCGUCAUAACCAUACUAAAUAAUGACAAUUUCACCUGUCUUGGCGUCGUUGAACGCCGGUUUUGACUUUG
rnacentral:lncRNA from 1 species